GCCCUGCUAGCUCAAUCGGUAGAGUGUGAGACUUUUAAUCUCAAGGUUGCGGGUUCGACCCCCGCGUGAGGCU
rnacentral:tRNA from 1 species